CGCACGAGCGCACCCUCGCCCUUAGUUGCCAGCAUUAAGUUGGGCACUCUAGGGGGACUGCCGGUGAUAAGCCGAGAGGAAGGUGGGGAUGACGUCAAGUCCUCAUGGCCCUUACGGGCUGGGCUACACACGUGCUACAAUGGCGGUGACAGUGGGCAGCGAACCCGCAAGGGGGAGCUAAUCUCCAAAAGCCGUCUCAGUUCGGAUUGUUCUCUGCAACUCGAGAGCAUGAAGUUGGAAUCGCUAGUAAUCGCGUAACAGCAUGACGCGGUGAAUACGUUCCCGGGCCUU
rnacentral:rRNA from 1 species